rnacentral:rRNA from 1 species
AUGGCCGGCACCACGGUGCUCCCGCCGUCUCUGCUCCCGCGCCGUAGUGCCGCCGCCGCCACCAACCUGCACUCCUGCUCCUCCCGCGUGCGCGUGAACCCCGCCUUGAUGGCCAACCCCGCGGCUGCCAAGAGGCCAAAGCGUCCCGGAUCCGUGCGCGGCGAGCAACCGCCGCCGGCGAAGCGCGUACGCGGUGCCUGCUCCGGGGGCGAGCUCCAUGUCGCCGUCCCCGCCAACAUCAAGAACGGCAGCAAGCUUCCGUCUCCCAGCAGCGGCAAGGAUCCGCUCCACUCCUCCGCAAUCAAGAACCAGGUCGCCGAAUCUCCGGAGAGCGCGACGCAACCGAAGCCGCAGAUGAGCAUGCGCGAACUGAUCGAGAAAGCUCGCCUCACCAUGGCUCGCCUCGACAAGGCUCGAUCGGCCUCCAAAGAAGAGGCCAGUCGUCAGCAGGAGAUCGAGCGCAGCAGAGCAGAGGCCAGGCGAAAGGUGGAGCAGAUGGCGGACACCGUGCAGUUCAACGACCCCUGGAUCCAUUACUCCGACGUGACCAAGUCCCCCGAGGAGCUGCUCCAAGCAAGACAGCACGCAUGGCGUUAUCAAGCUCGCCUCCUCGAGAUGGCUCGUCGACGGGACUUUGCGCAAGCGAUGCAAAUCCACGGAUGA